rnacentral:rRNA from 1 species
CUAUACUAUUCAGAGUUUGAUCCUGGCUCAGGAUUAACGCUGGCGGCAUGCCUAAUACAUGCAAAUCGAACGAAGCCUUUUGGCUUAGUGGUGAACGGGUGAGUAACACGUAUCCAAUCUACCCUUAAGUUUGGGAUAACUAGUCGAAAGAUUAGCUAAUACCGGAUAAUAACAUUCACUUGCAUGAGUGAAUGUGGAAAGUUGCGUUUGCAACGCUUUUGGAUGAGGGUGCGACGUAUCAGAUAGUUGGUGAGGUAACGGCUCACCAAGUCAUUGACGCGUAGCUGUACUGAGAGGUAGAACAGCCACAAUGGGACUGAGACACGGCCCAU